rnacentral:rRNA from 1 species
ACUCAAAGGAAUAGACGGGGGCCCGCACAAGCGGUGGAGCAUGUGGUUCAAUUCGACGCAACGCGAAGAACCUUACCUGGGCUCGAACGGCUCACGCCGACUCUGGAAACAGGGUUUUCCCGCAAGGGACGGGAGUCGAGGUGCUGCAUGGCUGUCGUCAGCUCGUGUCGUGAGAUGUUGGGUUAAGUCCCGCAACGAGCGCAACCCUUGUCCUGUGUUGCCAUGCCGAAAGGCGGAACUCGCAGGAGACCGCCAGCGAUAAGCUGGAGGAAGGUGGGGAUGACGUCAAGUCCUCAUGGCCUUUAUGUCCAGGGCUACACACGUGCUACAAUGGCCGGUACAAAUCGUCGCUAAGUCGCGAGACGGAGCCAAUCGCAAAAAACCGGUCUCAGUUCGGAUUGCAGGCUGCAACUCGCCUGCAUGAAGCUGGAAUCGCUAGUAAUGGCAGAUCAGCACGCUGCCGUGAAUACGUUCCCGGGCCUUGUACACACCGCCCGU